GGCCUCUUUUGCGGGCUCAGUCUAAAUUCGCCGCACUUACGACGACGUAAUGCCUCUGUCAGUUUUCCGGUUCCAGAGUUAUUCUGUAUCAUCGCCGUUAAUCCGGUGCUUCAGGUCACAAGCAGCAUUGAAAGCAUUGGCUAAAGCAUCUGAAGACAAAGUCCCAAAUCUCAUCCUCUAUAAUUAUCCUUCAUUUUCCGGAGCUUUUGCCGCGCUUUUCACUCACCUCUAUCAUUCUCAU
rnacentral:misc_RNA from 1 species